rnacentral:rRNA from 1 species
AAAAUUCCGGGGGGAAAAACGUCGCCGCGCGAGGGAUUACGGGGCGGUCAAAAAAAGCCAAACCUCUUUCCCCAUGACGAAGCCCAAGUGACGGUCGUGGGAGAAUAAGCACCGGCCAACUACAUGCCAGCAGCCGCGGUAAUACGUAGGGUGCGAGCGUUGUCCGGAAUUACUGGGCGUAAAGAGCUCGUAGGCGGUUUGUCGCGUCGUCUGUGAAAUCCCGCAGCUCAACUGCGGGCUUGCAGGCGAUACGGGCAGACUCGAGUACUGCAGGGGAGACUGGAAUUCCUGGUGUAGCGGUGAAAUGCGCAGAUAUCAGGAGGAACACCGGUGGCGAAGGCGGGUCUCUGGGCAUUUAUUUAUGCUGAGGAGCGAAAGCGUGGGUAGCGAACAGGAUUAGAUACCCUGGUAGUCCACGCCGUAAACGGGGGCGCUAGGUGUGGGUUUCCUUCCAGGGAUCCGUGCCGUACCAACGCAUUAAGCGCC